GGCGUCCCCCCUUCAGCGUUCAGAAUCACCCCCCACCGUGUGUGGAAAUGCACCUUCUCUUCUCCUGGGAGAUGUUCCUCCCAUCCAACCGUCUGGUUCCAGGAAGAUACUGUGCUCAUACAUGACUCCGCCCCCAUAGCCACCACUGAUUGGUCUAUGGGUGGUCACCUCACCCCAUAUUGGCCUUCCUGGGAUUUUUCAAACUGGAACUGACAUGAAGCCAAGAGGAGGAAGAGACUGCAUGUUUUCUGGCAUAUGGGGAAAGCUGAUCUACCAUGACAAAGAGUUAAGACAAUCUCAUUAGAAGACAGAGGAGGUGGGGCUGGACCAUCCAGGGCUGGCUGCUCUGAUGCUCACCUGCACAUCUGACCUGCUCUUUGGCUGCACAACCUGAGUCCAAGAGCAGACCCACAGGGCUCCCUGCAGAGAGUUCAAUGCAGAGGCUAUUUACAGAGGUCUAGGUAGGGGUGGGGAACCUGUACCCCAUGAACUGGAACAGCAGGGAAGCUGUUAUCCACUGUAAGCCCCAGGGCACAGGUGUGGGGCUUUGUUGCUGGAAUGCAGGGAGGGUUGUAAUUCUGGGAGAGGAGUUAUCUGGCAGGAUCGGAGAUCUUAUUUGAAGGAAAACCUCCACUGCCAAAUGUCAGUCAAGCAGGCUCCAACUUCUGUCUCCUCCCACCCUCAGGCUUCUCCUGUUGACUCUCAUCAGCCAAAUCCAACAGAAUCCAGAGGGCAGGGAGCCCCACUGUUGC
rnacentral:lncRNA from 1 species